GAUGAACGCUGGCGGCGUGCCUAAUACAUGCAAGUCGAGCGAACAGACGAGGAGCUUGCUCCACUGACGUUAGCGGCGGACGGGUGAGUAACACGUGGAUAACCUACCUAUAAGACUGGGAUAACUUCGGGAAACCGGUGCUAAUACCGGAUAAUAUAUUGAACCGCAUGGUUCAAUAGUGAAAGACGGUUUUGCUUUCACUUAUAGAUGGAUCCGCGCCGCAUUAGCUAGUUGGUAAGGUAACGGCUUACCAAGGCAACGAUGCGUAGCCGACCUGAGAGGGGAGUCGGCCCCACUGGAACUGAGACGAGGUCCAGACUCCUACGGUAGGGAGCAGUAGGGAAUCGUACGCAAUGGGCGAAAGCCUGACGGGGCAACGCCGCGUGAGUGAUGAAGGUCUUCGGAUCGUAAAACUCUGUUAUUAGGGAAGAACAAAAGUGUAAGUAACUAUGCACGUCUUGACGGUACCUAAUCAGAAAGCCACGGCUAACUACGUG
rnacentral:rRNA from 1 species